rnacentral:rRNA from 1 species
AUUGAACGCUGGCGGCAUGCCUUACACAUGCAAGUCGAACGGCAGCAUGAUCUAGCUUGCUAGAUUGAUGGCGAGUGGCGAACGGGUGAGUAAUACAUCGGAACGUGCCCUGUAGUGGGGAUAACUAGUCGAAAGAUUAGCCAAUACCGCAUACGAACUGAGGGUGAAAGUGGGGGACCGCAAGGCCUCAUGCUAUAGGAACGGCCGAUGUCUGAUUAGCUAGUUGGUGAGGUAAAGGCUCACCAAGGCGACGAUCAGUAGCUGGUCUGAGAGGACGAUCAGCCACACUGGGACUGAGACACGGCCCAGACUCCUACGGGAGGCAGCAGUGGGGAAUUUUGGACAAUGGGCGAAAGCCUGAUCCAGCAAUGCCGCGUGUGUGAAGAAGGCCUUCGGGUUGUAAAGCACUUUUGUCCGGAAAGAAAUGGCUCUGGUUAAUACCUGGGGUCGAUGACGGUACCGGAAGAAUAAGAACCGGCUAACUACGUG